UUCUUUCCUUGUUCCUACGAUAGCACAAGAACAAAAUCCUAAAGAAGAUUUACUGAUUUUUUUUUUGUUGUUUUUCUCAGCAGACCAGAGUAGGGGUGAUCAUCUCACUGAGAAGUAUACAGUGUGAAAAGGUUUUUCAAAAACACUUCGAGAUAAAUAACAGAUGAAUUCUUAAAACUGUUAAUCUCUGCCAUCCUUAAAGAUUAACCACAGAGCAUUUUAUUCAUCUGUAAAGGGAAAACCUUAAAAUGGAUCUGAGAAGUGAAGAAAGUGAUCAUAGGAUAAAAUCAUCUCAGAUGAGAAAAUUAUGUCAAUGGCAGAAGCCUCAGCUGUCUAUGGUGCAAGACUUGUUCCAUGGAUGAACAGAACUAUGUGGACAGGGCUGAAGUCAGAGUGGGAAGAUGUAUAAAGUAAGAGAGUGAACUGAUACACAAGGAACUCAGUUCUUGCCCAUUAUUUUUCAAUGAAUGAGGUUCUUUCAUUUUGGAAUCUCAACUACAGAACACCUGUUGUUCUCUUAUGGA
rnacentral:lncRNA from 1 species